rnacentral:SRP_RNA from 1 species
GCCGGUGUGGGUGGCAUGUGCCUGUAAUCCAAGUCGCUGGAGGCUGAGGUUGGUGGAUCAAGUGAGCUGAGGAGCUCUGGGCUGCAUGCACACUAUGUUGAAACGGGUGUCCACGCCUAAGUUCGGUAUCGAUAUGGUGUUCCAGGGGGAGCCCGGGACCACCAGGUUGUCUAAGGAGGGGGUGAACCGGCCCAAGGUCGGAAACGAAGCAGGUCAAAUCCCCCGUGCUGUCCUGUAGUUAGGAUAAUACCUGUGAGUAGAUGCUGCAGUGCAACCUUGGCAAAACAUCGAGACUUAAUCUUAA